rnacentral:rRNA from 1 species
CCCUAAAAGCUUUACUUUAUUUAUGUGGUUUAGAUUAAAAUGUUAGAUUGGCUGGGGUAGUUGUUUUAUAUUGACUAAGAUUUAAUAAAGCUUAAAAGGUUGAUGGUCCUUAAAAUUAAGAUAGUUAGAUGGAGUUACUUUAGGGAUAACAGCGUAAUAACUUUGGAGAGGUCAUAUUUAUGGGGUUGAUUGCGACCUCGAUGUUGAAUUAAAUUAAAAACUACAGCGCAGAAU